rnacentral:lncRNA from 1 species
AUGUGUGCGACAGUUUGGAAUGACGAAGCAGAGAGGUAUGCUGGCAGGAGAUAUCAAGAAAAACAGCUAGAAAAUCUUAAAUAUCAUACACAGAAUAUCAACUACAGAAGGAGCACACCUACAUAGUUCUUCAUGAUGUAUUUCACUUUCUCAUGCUGCAAAUGAAGAAGCCCUUCACUUCAAGGGAGGCACUGAAUCGGCAGAGCAGGCAGCAAUAGAGGCUUCAGAAACGGGGAAUUGUUGUUUUCUCACUCUGAGGGCAUUUUGCCAGAGAAUUCUGCUCGAGACUCAUGGAAAUUCUUGGACUAAAUGUAUGCAUGCAUGGGACUGGAAAAAUAUAUAUGAAGCGUGUGUUUCUAUAGGAAUCCUAUUCACCUAAACCAUAACAAGAUUUAAAACCGCU